rnacentral:rRNA from 1 species
GACGAACGCUGGCGGCGUGCUUAACACAUGCAAGUCGAGCGGAAAGGCUCCUUCGGGGGUACUCGAGCGGCGAACGGGUGAGCAACACGUGAGUAAUCUGCCUCUGGCUUCGGGAUAGCCACCGGAAACGGUGAUUAAUACCGGAUACGACACAUCACUGCAUGGUGCGUGUGUGGAAAGUUUUUUCGGCCAGGGAUGUGCUCGCGGCCUAUCAGCUUGUUGGUGGGGUAAUGGCCUACCAAGGCUUCGACGGGUAGCCGGCCUGAGAGGGUGCCCGGCCACACUGGGGCUGAGACACGGCCCAGACUCCUACGGGAGGCAGCAGUGGGGAAUAUUGGACAAUGGGCGGAAGCCUGAUCCAGCAACGCCGCGUGAGGGAUGACGGCCUUCGGGUUGUAAACCUCUUUCAGCACAGACGAAGCGCAAGUGACGGUAUGUGCAGAAGAAGGACCGGCCAACUACGUGCCAGCCGCCGCCGUAAUAC